rnacentral:rRNA from 1 species
GACUCCACGAAGUUGGAUUCGCUAGUAACCGCGCAUCAGCCAUGGCGCGGUGAAUACGUUCCCGGGCCUUGUACACACCGCCCGUCAAGCCAUGGGAGCCGGGGGCGCCUGAAGUCCGGGACCGCGAGGACCGGCCUAGGGCGAAACUGGUAACUGGGGCUAAGUCGUAACAAGGUAUC